AGAGUUUGAUCAUGGCUACAGAACGAACGCUGGCGGCAAGGCUUAACACAUGCAAGUCGAACGGUUGUAGCAAUACAGCAGUGGCGCACGGGUGAGUAACGCGUGGAUAUCUGCCUUUUGGUUCGGAAUAACUCCGGGAAACUGGAGCUAAUACCGGAUGGUUCCUACGGGAUAAAGAUUUAUCGCCAAAAGAUGAGUCCGCGUACGAUUAGCUAGUUGGUGAGGUAAUGGCUCACCAAGGCGACGAUCGUUAGCUGGUCUGAGAGGACGAUCAGCCACACUGGGACUGAGACACGGCCCAGACUCCUACGGGAGGCAGCAGUGGGGAAUAUUGGACAAUGGGGCAACCCUGAUCCAGCCAUGCCGCGUGAGUGAUGAAGGCCUUCGGGUUGUAAAGCUCUUUUGGCGGGGACGAUGAUGACGGUACCCGCAGAAUAAGCCCCGGCUAACUUCGUG
rnacentral:rRNA from 1 species